rnacentral:lncRNA from 1 species
GUUGAGUUUGUUUCAAAGAAGCUAAGACAUCGAGGAUUUUUGUUGUUGGUGAAGGGGAAUUACGAGCUAAAGUGGAAGUAAACAAGAACGAAAACAAGAAGAAAAGGGAAAGCUUUGAAGAAGAUACUGAAGUAGCCAUUGUUGUUUAUUUGGGUGCUGAAUUUGAAAGAGUUUAGUGGGGGUUUUAUUUUGGUUUAGAAAAAGGGGAGAAGGAGAAGAACGUCACCGUCAGGCUUUGUUGGCAGACAUUAAAGGCUUCAGCUAGAAGCAGAUGAGAGACGGGGAGUGGCAGAGCUUUGAAACAUACUAUCUAUGGUUGUCA